rnacentral:lncRNA from 1 species
UUCUCAUAAGAAUAUUUGUAUAAAGCUUACUUUCAACGGAUUCUUUUUCGAACAAACACUAUUCAUUUUUCCCAAAAAGAUCAUUCAUGAAUACUAUUCUUUGGCAGAUAUUUACUUUUUUUUUAUAAAGACCCGACGGUCAAAACUUCAAUUAAUAGCGUCUUUCAAAACAAGAUCAUGGAUAUCCAAAGGAUAAUCCAAAUUAGAAACCUGAUUACAAUUUUUAAUGUUAGCCCACUUGCAAAGUGCAUCAGCCAGUUUGUUACAACAACGCGGGGCCAAAUUAAGAGUAAAAUUACUAAAGUAAAUUGUAAGCUUCUGGAUCUCCCGCAGCCUAUAGCCCAACACCGUCAAAUCUUUCUGCCUACUGUUGAACCGAUUGACUAAGUUUGCACAGUCAGACUCCAACGCCACAACCUUCCAGUUAUUUAUCUGAGCAAAAUUUAUGCUUUCUUCCAUAGCCUGUAACUCCGCCCAUUCCACACUUAAAUCCUUCUUCACACAACCCACGCACCCGCUAUGCACAAAGCCAUCAGUAUCCCUAGCCACUAGGCCAUAACAAGCUUUCUUCUCGUAAAUAGUAGCAUCAAAAUUUAUUUUGAUUACCCCUGGAUCAGGUUUCUGCUAACCUUUCUCCACGACAGGCUUUGGUAUCAUAUGUUUCUCCAUAAGAUUAAAAAUGCAAAAAUCCCUAGAUAACGAAGCCGCUCUAUCCCAGAUCACCUUGGCGUCCUCCUCCACCUCUUGAAACACUCUAUUGUUCCUACUAUUCCAAAUAUUCUAUAAUAUUGCAAUAAAGUCAGAAAACGCCUUCCUAUCCAAAACCUGGACCAUGUCCUCGAUCCAAUCCACACACCGACCAUAGCUUCCAUCGAGUAGCUUUUUAUUUAGGCCACUAUAAGCUAGCACCGCCCUGGCCUUAGGACAAUCCUUCAACGCAUGAAUAAGAGUCUCCUUUUCCAUAAUACAUCUCGGGCACAAACUAUUAACAUCCCUCCGAAUGCUAGAAAUUUUCUCGUACUAGGGAUAAUGUCGUGCCCCAAGUGCCAGCAGAAAAUUCUGAUUUUCGGCAAAGUUUGGAGCUUCCAAAUAAGUUUCCAGAGGAAGCGGUGAGGGCAAAAGCCUACAUGCUUCAAUCUCAUUCAAGAGUAGGCCGACUUUGUAGUGUAAUAUCCUAGAGGAUUAUGAAACCAGAUCCGCUCGUCCUCGGGACCAUUAGGUAGAAUUAUCUAUCGAAGAAGUCUUAGAACUUAUCCAAGUCUUAC